rnacentral:tRNA from 1 species
GGGGGCAUGGCGGAAUUGGUAGACGCAGCGGACUUAAAAUCCGCAGGUUGCAAAACUGUGGGGGUUCAAGUCCCCCUGCCCCCA